GAAGAAGAAGAAGAAGAAGAGGAGGAGGAGGAGGAGGAAGAAAGGAAAAAAAAUUGGGGAAAAUCUAAUUGAAGGAUCGGGGGACGAGUCUCCACCUCAAGGUUGAGAAGGAGGCGUUUCGCUUUUGUUUUUUGGAUCUCUAAGGUAAUUGAAGUAGAGUUUUGGUCCACUACUGGUCUGACAAGCUGUAGGAGCGAGGACGAGGGUCGACUUGGUGUCCUUUUGGCAUAGUACAUUUGUGAUAUCAAUUUUUGGAGAGUUGUCG